GAUGAACGCUGGCGGCGUGCUUAACACAUGCAAGUCGAACGAAGCACCUUGAUCUGAUUCUUCGGAUGAAGAUCCUGGUGACUGAGUGGCGGACGGGUGAGUAACGCGUGGGUAACCUGCCUCAUACAGGGGGAUAACGGUUAGAAAUGACUGCUAAUACCGCAUAAGACCACAGCACCGCAUGGUGCAGGGGUAAAAACUCCGGUGGUAUGAGAUGGACCCGCGUCUGAUUAGGUAGUUGGUGGGGUAACGGCCUACCAAGCCGACGAUCAGUAGCCGACCUGGGAGGGUGACCGGCCACAGUGGGACUGAGACACGGCCCAAACUCCUACGGGAGGCAGCAGUGGGGAAUAUUGCACAAUGGGGGAAACCCUGAUGCAGCGACGCCGCGUGAGCGAUGAAGUAUUUCGGUAUGUAAAGCUCUAUCAGCAGGGAAGAAAAUGACGGUACCUGACUAAGAAGCACCGGCUAAAUACGUGCCAGCCGCCGCCGUAA
rnacentral:rRNA from 1 species